rnacentral:pre_miRNA from 1 species
CUCGAGUUAUCUCUCGUCUCUAGACCAUUUGUGAGAAGGGAUCUUUUAUUUGCACCAAUACCUCACCAGUCUCUAAAUCUGCAAAUAAGUAUUAUGCUCACUUAAGGAAAAUACCUUGUCAAUAUAUCUCACCCUCUUUUAAAACUAAUCUUAGAAUUCAGAUGCCUUUGGAUCCUAAAAUACAUUGUUGUGCAUAUAUGUAAUCUACUGGCGCAGCAGGGUAAGUUUCUUGUGUACCUCUAGAAAUUCUCUUACUGCUUAGGAUUCCCGAGCUACCAAAACUUUCUUAAGGUCUACUCUGUAGGUCACAACUAUUAUUGCCGCACUCACCUUAUUGUUAAGAUGGUUAUUUCUUCCAAUCAAUAUCUGAUCCUUCGGAAGUUAGGUUUAAAAAUAAGUAGAUAAUGUGCAUUAGUGACUUUUCCUGAUGCUGCACUCAUAAUUGUUUUGUUUGUGUUCCAACUCAAUUCAAGAUGAUUCUCGAAAUCAUAUAAAUUCAUUAACACCAUGAACAUGAUAGCUAAGAAUUUGUAUGUCUUACAACUAGUAGACACCCUAAUUAUAAACAUAGGGACUGGUGAGGGGUUUGGUUAUGUUCCCUUCUCAUCGAUGGUCUAGAUGUGCGAGGUGACUCUCAUGGAGG